rnacentral:rRNA from 1 species
AUUCCAGCUCCAAUAGCGUAUAUUAAAGUUGUUGCAGUUAAAAAGCUCGUAGUCGGAUUUUGGCAUCACGCCGAACUGUCUGCCGAUUGGUAAGUACGGUUUGGCGGGUGCUUCCUUCCGGAGGCUCGUUCCCUUCUUCAUUGAAGGGUUCGUUGGUUCCGGGUCUUUUACUUUGAGAAAAUUAGAGUGUUCAAAGCAGGCCUAUGCUCUGAAUAGGUUAGCAUGGAAUAAUAGAAUAGGACUUUGGUUCUAUUUUGUUGGUUUCUAGGACCGAAGUAAUGAUUAAUAGGGAUAGUUGGGGGCAUUAGUAUUUAUUAGCUAGAGGUGGAAUUCUCUAAUUUGAUAAAGACUAACUUAUGCGAAAGCAUUUGCCAAGGACGUUUUCAUCG